GAUGAACGCUGGCGGCGUGCCUAAUACAUGCAAGUCGAGCGAACAGACGAGGAGCUUGCUCCUCUGAUGUUAGCGGCGGACGGGUGAGUAACACGUGGAUAACCUACCUAUAAGACUGGGAUAGCUUCGGGAAACCGGAGCUAAUACCGGAUAACAUGUUGAACCGCAUGGUUCAACAGUGAAAGACGGUCUUGCUGUCACUUAUAGAUGGAUCCGCGCCGCAUUAGCUAGUUGGUAAGGUAACGGCUUACCAAGGCAACGAUGCGUAGCCGACCUGAGAGGGUGAUCGGCCACACUGGAACUGAGACACGGUCCAGACUCCUACGGGAGGCAGCAGUAGGGAAUCUUCGGCAAUGGGCGAAAGCCUGACGGAGCAACGCCGCGUGAGUGAAGAAGGUCUUCGGAUCGUAAAGCUCUGUUAUUAGGGAAGAACGAAUGUGUAAGUAACUAUGCACGUCUUGACGGUACCUAAUCAGAAAGCCACGGCUAACUACGUG
rnacentral:rRNA from 1 species